rnacentral:antisense_RNA from 1 species
UGUGGGAGGGGGCUUGCCCCCGAUAGCGGUGGUUCAGCUGGAUUAUUUUUAGCUGACACACUGCCAUCGGGGGCAAGCCCCCUCCCACA